rnacentral:rRNA from 1 species
GACGAACGCUGGCGGCGCGCUUAAUACAUGCAAGUCGAGCGAGAACCUGGGCUUCGGCCCAGGGGAAAGCGGCGAACGGGUGAGUAACACGUGGGUAAUCUGCCCUCGGCACCGGGAUAGCCCGGGGAAACCCGGAUUAAUACCGGACGGCCUCUCGAGCCCUCGGGCUCGUGAGAAAAGGUAGCUUCGGCCUCCGGCCGAGGAGGAGCCCGCGGCGGAUCAGCUUGUUGGCGGGGUAACGGCCCACCAAGGCGACGAUCCGUAGCUGGUCUGAGAGGACGAUCAGCCACACUGGGACUGAGACACGGCCCAGACUCCUACGGGAGGCAGCAGUAGGGAAUCUUGCGCAAUGGGCGAAAGCCUGACGCAGCGACGCCGCGUGCGGGAAGAAGGCCCUCGGGUUGUAAACCGCUUUCAGGAGGGAAGAAGCUACUCGGGUUAAUAGCCCAGAGGGUGACGGUACCUCCAGAAGAAGCCCCGGCUAACUACGUGCCAGCAGCCGCCGUAACAC